rnacentral:pre_miRNA from 1 species
CUGUCCCGUAAUAGUUGUCGCUUUAACUUUUUUCUUUCAACGUUUGACCAUUCAUUUUAUUUGAAAAAUUUAUGCAAAUAUAAAAAAGGAUAAGUAAUACUUAAAGUACUUUUGAUAAUUAAGCAAGUCACAGAUAAAAUAAAUAAUAAUUUCAAAAUUUUUUGAAAUAAGACGAAUAAUCAAAUUUUACAAACAAAAACUCAAAGCGACAAGUAAUAUAGGACGGAGGU